rnacentral:tRNA from 1 species
GCCUGACUGGCUCAGUUCAGAGAGCAUAUGACUCUUGAUCUUGGGGCCAUGGGUUCGAGCCCCACGUCGGGUG